rnacentral:lncRNA from 1 species
AUCACAAAUGCCAAGCCCAAACUCCCAACAGGCCAAGAUGGUGGCAUUUCACAAUGGUAUAGUGAGCUCUACUACAAUGUUUGUUUUGAAAGUGAGAAGCUGUACCAAUGCAAUUAAUAUAUUAGAGGAUAAUUUCACAUUUGAUUCUGUACAAUUUCAUUCCUUAGAAAAACUAGGUGAAUGCAGAAAAUUGCAUCCAGCUGAAAUGACCCAGCAAGGAAUGCACAAAAUCUGCAGACUCACACCUCAAACAUCUAUCAGCUACCUCAGUUCAUCCAUGUGAUAUAAGCCACACCCAUUUACAUCUGAGGUCACAACUACUCAUCAGAUUUUGAAUAAUCCUCUUUCUACUGCUUCACAACAGUUCACAAGCCACAACACUUCCAGCAUUAAUUCUUCUUCAACAAACCAGAAGACUCAUUAGGAUCCAUAAUAGCUGCCAGUGUAGAGGAGCCUCAGUUACUUUCACUUUGAUCAUUAUCCCUGGGAGAAGAAGCCAACAGCUCCUGGUGACCACAAUAAGAGAUUUCAUUUUUACCUCUUACGAAGAGCUCAGUGGAACAUUUCUCAUCACCGGCUGUCACAUAAUACUCUGAAUCAUCUGUCAUCUGACAGUUAUUGAUAAACAGGAUUCUCUGGCAUCCUUUGUGUUCAAAGAUGUAUCUGUUUUGAAUAGGAUGAAAAUAAACAGAGUCUGUGAAUGUGA